GAAUUAAAAAGUAAAAAUGAAAAUGCCAUACCAUAAUCGAUUUCUCAGAGACGCCAAUCAACUGGGCAAUGCGGCGACGACUUUCUCGAUUGGGAAAUGGAUCUGUGGUGAACUCUGCUUCCAGUAGCUCCAGCUGGACCUCGUCGUAAAAGUGGCGCUGACGUCCUGAUCCGGAAGAAGAUUUCGAAGUGGAAACAACUGGAUAACAAUCUGCAAUUGCUUUCUUACUCUAGCGGAAUCUCCUUCUUGUAGAGAGAUUUAAAUUCAUUAUUAAUCCGCUGAAGCUGAUCCGGCGGAAGUACUCAAUCGUUAUUGCUGUCCAGGAUCAACAGCUUAUUAAAGGAUUCAGGUAUUUGACCUUACGCAGUUUUUUCUUUUCUUUGCCGGUAUCAGUUAAUCCAAAAUAUCUAGGCAUUUCGAUGUUGAACUUAUCAAAUGGCCCAACAUUGAAAUUGGUUUGUUAAACGACAAGUAAUUAUUAUAACUGUAUUUGCGAGGAGCAUUUUGAGGCAAAGGAAUGUUUCAAACCUUUUAUUUUAUAUUUAAAAAAAUCAAAGCCUUUGUUACAUAAUGUGUUGUUGUUCUGAAUUUAAAAAAAAAUGCAACUAAACGAAAGAUUGCGUGAAACGAUAGCGUUUCGACAGCGCAUCUAAAGCGUU